rnacentral:rRNA from 1 species
AUGGUUGUCUUCUCAAAAUUCUACCGUGUGAUCAACACAAAUUUUACUGAGCUGAACAAGGCCUUCAUCACGCUGAUCCCUAAAAAAGAGGGUGCACGGGAAGUGAAGAAAUUCAGACCUAUCAGUUUGAUGAGCUCGGUGGCGAAGCUGAUUGCCAAGGUCCUAUCUAUGAGGCUGGCCACGGUCAUCCCUCAGAUCAUAUCCCUUGCGCAAUCAGCUUUUCAAAAAGGAAAAUGUAUUCACGACAAUUAUCUCUACGUCCAAGGAUGUGUAAAAUCCCUACACAAAAGAAACAAGCAUGCUCUGCUUUUCAAAUUAGACAUAGAAAAAGUGUUCGAUUCCAUUUCUUGGGAUUACCUCCUAGAAUUUCUACAACGUUUGUGCUUCCCUGCAAGAUGGAGAAACUGGAUCUUCCUUCUCCUGUCCAUGACGACAUCCUCCUGUCUGUUGAAUGGUGAUGCAGGGCAGGCCAUUGGCCACUUGCAGGGCCUGAGGCAAGGCGAUCCACUGUCUCCACUGCUAUUCAUCAUCGCCAUAGACCCACUCUACCGCCUCCUUGACGCCGUUGUAAAUCUUGGCAUCUUCUCUCCUCUGCCAGGAAGAGGUGCCUGUUGGGUUUCGUAG